rnacentral:rRNA from 1 species
CUUGAACGCUGGCGGCAGGCCUAACACAUGCAAGUCGAACGAGUGGCGGACGGGUGAGUAAUGUCUGGGCAACUGCCUGAUGGAGGGGGAUAACUACUGGAAACGGUAGCUAAUACCGCAUACCAUCCGAUUUGCCCAGAUGGGAUUAGCUAGUUGGUGGGGUAACGGCUCACCAGGGCGACGAUCCCUAGCUGGUCUGCGAGGAUGACAAGCCACACUGGAACUGGGACACGGGCCAGACUCCGACGGGAGGCAGAAGUGGGGAAUAUUGCACAAUGGGCGCAAGCCUGAUGCAGCCAUGCGGCGUGUAUGAAGAAGGCCGUCGGGUUGUAAAGUACUUUCAGCGGGGAGGCGUUACCCGCAGAAGAAGCACCGGCUAACUCCGUGCCAGCAGCCGCGGUAAUAC